AUAAGAGACCGCUAAUCCAAGAAACUCUCAUGAUACAAAAAUUGAGAACAAGAAGAAUUCUACACACACGCUCACACGAAAAAAAAAGUGAAGACUUGUACUUUAAUCAAGAGUAAUUCAAAAAGCAGAUUGAAAUAAGCAAUUAGCAAACUCUUUCAGCUUCAAGCAACCGCGUAGUGUCUUUGAAAAAAUGAAUUCGGAAAAAAAGAAAGGAAUUUAGAAACCAACAAGAUUUCAAGUAAUGGAUACAAAUAUAAAGCUUUGCAAAAGAAAAAAUGCAACAAAGAAAAACAAAACAAUGGAAAUGUCAAUUGCAAAUCAGUUGAAAUUACUCAAAAAAAGCAAGUGUGUUGUGAAGAAGUUAAGUUGUUGUGAGCUGUUUACUUAAUGUAGUACAGGAUAAGGAGGCUGACGAAGUAGCCCGAGUAACAUAUUACGCUGCCGAAGCUAUACCA